CACUAACAAUCCUUCGGGUGCGUUAAUGGGCGUCGAGCGGCGGACGGGUGAGUAAUGCCUAGGAAAUUGCCUUGAUGUGGGGGAUAACCAUUGGAAACGAUGGCUAAUACCGCAUGAUGCCUACGGGCCAAAGAGGGGGACCUUCGGGCCUCUCGCGUCAAGAUAUGCCUAGGUGGGAUUAGCUAGUUGGUGAGGUAAUGGCUCACCAAGGCGACGAUCCCUAGCUGGUCUGAGAGGAUGAUCAGCCACACUGGAACUGAGACACGGUCCAGACUC
rnacentral:rRNA from 1 species